UACAGAGGUCUCAAGCGUUGUUCGGAUUCAUUGGGCGUAAAGGGUGCGUAGGCGGCGCGGUAAGUCGGGUGUGAAAUCUCGGAGCUUAACUCCGAAACUGCAUUCGAUACUGCCGUGCUUGAGGACUGGAGAGGAGACUGGAAUUUACGGUGUAGCGGUGAAAUGCGUAGAUAUCUGGAGGAACACCGGUGGCGAAGGUGGCAUCCUGGACCGACAUUGACGCUGAUCCGCGAAAGCCAGGGGAGCAAACGGG
rnacentral:rRNA from 1 species